GAUGAACGCUGGCGGCGUGCCUAAUACAUGCAAGUCGAGCGAACAGACGAGGAGCUUGCUCCUCUGACGUUAGCGGCGGACGGGAGAGUAACACGUGGAUAACCUACCUAUAAGACUGGGAUAACUUCGGGAAACCGGAGCUAAUACCGGAUAAUAUAUUGAACCGCAUGGUUCAAUAGUGAAAGACGGUUUUGCUGUCACUUAUAGAUGGAUCCGCGCCGCAUUAGCUAGUUGGUAAGGUAACGGCUUACCAAGGCAACGAUGCGUAGCCGACCUGAGAGGGUGAUCGGCCACCCUGGAACUGAGACACGGUCCAGACUCCGACGGGAGGCAGCAGUAGGGAAUCUUCCGCAAUGGGCGAAAGCCUGACGGAGUAACGCCGCGUGAGUGAUGAAGGUCUUCGGAUCGUAAAACUCUGUUAUUAGGGAAGAACAAAUGUGUAAGUAACUAUGCACGUCUUGACGGUACCUAAUCAGAAAGCCACGGCUAACUACGUG
rnacentral:rRNA from 1 species